rnacentral:rRNA from 1 species
GACGAACGCUGGCGGCGUGCUUAACACAUGCAAGUCGAACGGAAAGGCCCUGCUUUUGUGGGGUGCUCGAGUGGCGAACGGGUGAGUAACACGUGAGUAACCUGCCCUUGACUUUGGGAUAACUUCAGGAAACUGGGGCUAAUACCGGAUAGGAGCUCCUGCUGCAUGGUGGGGGUUGGAAAGUUUCGGCGGUCGGGGAUGGACUCGCGGCUUAUCAGCUUGUUGGUGGGGUAGUGGCUUACCAAGGCUUUGACGGGUAGCCGGCCUGGGAGGGUGACCGGCCACAUUGGGACUGAGAUACGGCCCAGACUCCUACGGGAGGCAGCAGUGGGGAAUAUUGCACAAUGGGCGGAAGCCGGAUGCAGAAACGCCGCGUGCGGGAUGACGGCCUUCGGGUUGUAAACCGCUUUCGCCUGUGACGAAGCGUGAGUGACGGUAAUGGGUAAAGAAGCACCGGCUAACUACGUG